GCUGGCGGCGUGCUUAACACAUGCAAGUCGAACGGAAAGGCCCUGCUUUUGUGGGGUGCUCGAGUGGCGAACGGGUGAGUAACACGUGAGUAACCUGCCCUUGACUUUGGGAUAACUUCAGGAAACUGGGGCUAAUACCGGAUAGGAGCUCCUGCUGCAUGGUGGGGGUUGGAAAGUUUCGGCGGUUGGGGAUGGACUCGCGGCUUAUCAGCUUGUUGGUGGGGUAGUGGCUUACCAAGGCUUUGACGGGUAGCCGGCCUGAGAGGGUGACCGGCCACAUUGGGACUGAGAUACGGCCCAGACUCCUACGGGAGGCAGCAGUGGGGAAUAUUGCACAAUGGGCGGAAGCCUGAUGCAGCAACGCCGCGUGCGGGAUGACGGCCUUCGGGUUGUAAACCGCUUUCGCCUGUGACGAAGCGUGAGUGACGGUAAUGGGUAAAGAAGCACCGGCUAACUACGUGCCAGCAGCCGCGGUGAUACGUAGGGUGCGAGCGUUGUCCGGAUUUAUUGGGCGUAAAGGGCUCGUAGGUGGUUGAUCGCGUCGGAAGUGUAAUCUUGGGGCUUAACCCUGAGCGUGCUUUCGAUACGGGUUGACUUGAGGAAGGUAGGGGAGAAUGGAAUUCCUGGUGGAGCGGUGGAAUGCGCAGAUAUCAGGAGGAACACCAGUGGCGAAGGCGGUUCUCUGGGCCUUUCCUGACGCUGAGGAACGAAAGCCUGGGGAGCGAACAGGCUUAAAUACCCUGGUAGUCCACGCUGUAAACGGUGGGUACUAGGUGUGGGGUCCAUUCCACGGGUUCCGUGCCGUAGCUAACGCUUUAAGUACCCCGCCUGGGGAGUACGGCCGCAAGGCUAAAACUCAAAGGAAUUGACGGGGCCCCGCACAAGCGGCGGAGCAUGCGGAUUAAUUCGAUGCAACGCGUAGAACCUUACCUGGGUUUGACAUGGAUCGGGAGUGCUCAGAGAUGGGUGUGCCUCUUUUGGGGUCGGUUCACAGGUGGUGCAUGGCUGUCGUCAGCUCGUGUCGUGAGAUGUUGGGUUAAGUCCCGCAACGAGCGCAACCCUUGUUCACUGUUGCCAGCACGUUAUGGUGGGGACUCAGUGGAGACCGCCGGGGUCAACUCGGAGGAAGGUGGGGAUGACGUCAAGUCAUCAUGCCCCUUAUGUCCAGGGCUUCACGCAUGCUACAAUGGCUGGUACAGAGAGUGGCGAGCCUGUGAGGGUGAGCGAAUCUCGGAAAGCCGGUCUCAGUUCGGAUUGGGGUCUGCAACUCGACCUCAUGAAGUCGGAGUCGCUAGUAAUCGCAGAUCAGCAACGCUGCGGUGAAUACGUUCCCGGGGCUUGUACACACCGCCCGUCAAGUCAUGAAAGUUGGUAACACCCGAAGCCGGUGGCGUAACCGUUGUGGGGGAGCCGUCGAAGGUGGGACUGG
rnacentral:rRNA from 1 species